UACAGAGGGGCAAGCGUUGUUCGGAAUUACUGGGCGUAAAGGGUGCGUAGGCGGCGCGGUAAGUCGGGUGUGAAUCUCGGAGCUUAACUCCGAACUGCAUUCGAUACUGCCGUGCUUGAGGACUGGAGAGGAGACUGGAAUUUACGGUGUAGCGGUGAAAUGCGCAGAUAUCGAGGAGGAACACCGGUGGCGAAGGCGGGUCUCUGGGCCGUAACUGACGCUGAGGAGCGAAAGCGUGGGGAGCGAACAGG
rnacentral:rRNA from 1 species